ACUUUGACCUCAAAUCAGGUAGAACCCGAU
rnacentral:rRNA from 1 species